rnacentral:pre_miRNA from 15 species
UCUGUGAGCCCCCAACUGGCUACGAUCUUGGGACGCAUUUUGUGCAGUUAUGCACCAAAAAUAUAUCCAUCACUGGGCAAAGUGUGUCUCAGGAUCUUGGCCAUCUCAACGAAGAAUCAAU